UACAGGGGGGGCAAGCGUUGUUCGGAAUUACUGGGCGUAAAGGGCUCGUAGGUGGCCAACUAAGUCAGACGUGAAAUCCCUCAGCUUAACUGGGGAACUGCGUCUGAUACUGGAUGGCUUGAGUGUGGGAGAGGGAUGCGGAAUUCCAGGUGUAGCGGUGAAAUGCGUAGAUAUCCGGAGGAACACCGGUGGCGAAGGCGGCUUCCUGGACCGACACUGACGCUGAGGCGCGAAAGCUAGGGGAGCAAACGGG
rnacentral:rRNA from 1 species